CAGAUUGACACGCUACAAGAGAAAAUCCAGACCAUAUCUCGGAGAGCCUCUGCUGCUGAGCAUGCUCUGGCCAUGGAGAAGAAUGAGGCAGCGCUACUCCGCCAGAGGAUUUUUCAACUAACCUCAAAGAAGCUGAAAAUAGGAAAACCUGGGUUCCUGAUCAAGACCAUCCCCAAGCCCCUGAAAACAACCAAGACCAACAAACCCUUCUUGAAAACCUGCAAAGUUCUGAAAGCUUUCAAAGCACUAAUGAAGAUAUGAAGGCAAUGCAUACAAUUGUACAUUUGGUGCAAUUAUUCUCAGGACACGGGGUGAGGCAGAGUACAAUAAAUAAAUUCAGAUGCCUUAUUCCAUCAAACAACUGCAAGAAGUCUUCUUUAAAAUCAACCAAGCUAAAUUGGACACGUGUUUUAUGUCAUUUAUAUGGUAGGUCUCAUUAGAUAUCAUCCAACUCUUUAAAAAUGCCUUUGUAUGCAGAUUUCUGCUGUUUCCAUUAGGUAAGAUACAACUCCAUGGGGCUUACCUGCCAAGACCUCCAUGGAAGCCACAUAUCCCAUCAAUUACCAAAGCCAAAUGGUAGGCCUAUGAUGAAGUCUAUUUUCUAGGUCUCCAGGGCUAUUUUGGCGACGGGAAACCCCCACGUGAAGUGUCCUCACUUUGCAACCCAGAUUCUCUUUAGGGACCUGAGCUGUCCAAGAAACCAAAACAUCUGGACAUUUUAAAAGCCAUAGAUGAUCCACUUGAAUGCUUUGCGCAGAAGCACGAGUAGUACACGAGUGGACGAAUAGAUGUCCAUUCAGCGAGACGCGUGAAUUAGCCUACAAACAAAGGGAAAUGCAGAACAAAGCUCUUUCUCGUUAGGGUUGCGGGUGUAAACUUAUCUUGCAUAAACUUGUCUUGGAAGAUUAUAUACCGGUAAAUUAACGUAUUUAAAUGUUUCACUCAAGUCCGAGAAGAACGAGAACAACACAUUAGAUUUGCGCAGGGUAAAUACUCAUGAUAAUGGCCAAUUUCUUUUAUUAAAACAAGAUGUAUAAGCCUACUUUGGGGAAACGAAUGACUAAAUAUAUAUCCUAUAGGGAAAUAAGAAGGAGAGCCAACAAUAUAAGUGAAAUUCAACAAUGUGCUUUAGUAACGACGGUGUAACGGCUGUCGUUGGUGGAAGAAGGUGAGGACCAAGGUGCAGCGUGGUAAGUGUUCAUCUUUUUU